GAUGUGUGCGGCGCUUUGUGACCUCUAAAUUGCCUAUCCUGGAGUUGUAGCGGCAUUCAGACUCGACUACGAGACAAAGUUUGAUGCAUCGUGGUCAGGUGUUGGCGUCAACGAGCUUUAUGUUGCAGAAGCGUAGGAGACGGACGGAGUUGUGAUUCAUGGACUGCAAUUCUGAUUAGGAAGAAGGCCCUGAUCGUGUCUUACGAAUGUGCUGAAUCUGUUGGAGCGUGCGUGAAGGGGAAGUAAGCAUGCAGGAAGAAGAGCGCCACAUUGGAACCGAAGAAUGGAAAGGUAGAGGAAGGGCCUAGGAGUCCUACUCCAGCGAAGCUGUUGCUCAAAUUGAUACCGCAGACCCGAACAGUGGCAUGUAUGCAGAGGAAGCAUGUCCGCUUGCAGCGAGUCUCUUCAUGAUUGCUGAGAAACUGAGUCGGGUAUGUUUCCCUUGUGAGUUUCAGUAAGUUAGUGACGAGGAAGUGCGAUUGAAAGGAGCAGCGGAGAUGUUACGAUUGUAACCGAGACUAUCUUUGUGCAUCCAUGUUUGAUGCUGUGCAAAAAAUUCCGCAACAAUGUUCAAGCUAGAGAGGAGCUCGAGGAAGAACCCAAGCUUGAACUCAAGGCUACAAUAUGGUUCAUCGGUAAAUAAGACUAGAAGGAGAAUCCUGGUAGAAGCUUCGACAGUUGGUACUCUGCGAUAUGCAUUUUCUUAGUCCAGACACCACUUAUCCAAAAAAGUAGGGACAUGUUUCGUAUCGUUGCACACUUGAGAAGAAGAGCUGGAAAAUGACCAUUGUUAUCAA